rnacentral:rRNA from 1 species
GACGAACGCUGGCGGCGUGCUUAACACAUGCAAGUCGAACGGAAAGGCCCUUCGGGGUACUCGAGUGGCGAACGGGUGAGUAACACGUGGGUGAUCUGCCCUGCACUUUGGGAUAAGCCUGGGAAACUGGGUCUAAUACCGGAUAGGACCACGGCAUUCAUGUGCUGUGGUGGAAAGCUUUUGCGGUGUGGGAUGGGCCCGCGGCCUAUCAGCUUGUUGGUGGGGUAAUGGCCUACCAAGGCGACGACGGGUAGCCGGCCUGAGAGGGUGACCGGCCACACUGGGACUGAGAUACGGCCCAGACUCCUACGGGAGGCAGCAGUGGGGAAUAUUGCACAAUGGGCGCAAGCCUGAUGCAGCGACGCCGCGUGAGGGAUGACGGCCUUCGGGUUGCAAACCUCUUUCGCCAGGGACGAAGCGCAAGUGACGGUACCUGGAGAAGAAGGACCGGCCAACUACGUG